AACACAUGCAAGUCGAGCGGUAGCAGAUCUAGCUUGCUAGAUGCUGACGAGCGGCGGACGGUGAGUAACGCGUAGAAACCUGCCCAGUAGUGGGGGAUAGCCCGGGGAAACUCGGAUUAAUACCGCAUACGCUCUACGGAGGAAAGAGGGGCUUCGGCUCUCGCUAUUGGAUGGGCCUGCGUGAGAUUAGCUAGUUGGUGAGGUAAUGGCUCACCAAGGCGACGAUCUCUAGCUGGUCUGAGAGGAUGAUCAGCCACACUGGGACUGAGACACGGCCCAGACUCCUACGGGAGGCAGCAGUGGGGAAUAUUGCACAAUGGGCGCAAGCCUGAUGCAGCCAUGCCGCGUGUGUGAAGAAGGCUUUCGGGUUGUAAAGCACUUUCAGUGGGGAGGAAGGCCUCGUAGUUAAUAGCUGCGAGGAUUGACGUUACCCACGGAAGAAGCACCGGCUAACUCCGUG
rnacentral:rRNA from 1 species